UUGCCCUAGUAACGGCGAGUGAAGCGGGAAAAGCUCAAAUUUAAAAUCUGGCAGUCUUCGAUUGUCCGAGUUGUAAUUUAGAGAAGCGUUAUCCGCGUUGGACCGUGUACAAGUCUCCUGGAACGGAGCGUCAUAGAGGGUGAGAAUCCCGUCCAUGGCACGGACUACCAGUGCAUUGUGAUACGCUCUCGAAGAGUCGAGUUGUUUG
rnacentral:rRNA from 1 species